GUAUGUAGCCAUCUCGACCAUGA
rnacentral:siRNA from 1 species